AAAAAUAAGCUAAAUUAAGC
rnacentral:tRNA from 1 species